CAACCUCAACUCAUAUGGGACUACCCCCUGAAUUUAAGCAUAUUAAUUAGGGGAGGAAAAGAAACUAACAAGGAUUUUCUUAGUAGCGGCGAGCGAAAAGAAAUCAGUUCAGCACUAAGUCACUUUGUCUAUAUGGCAAAUGUGAGAUGCAGUGUAUGGAACAUCAAUAUUCUAGUAUGAGAAAUUAACGAUUUAAGUCCUUCUUAAAUGAGGCCAUUUACCCAUAGAGGGUGCCAGGCCCGUAUAACGUUAAUGAUUACUAGAUGGUGUUUCCAAAGAGUCGUGUUGCUUGAUAGUGCAGCACUAAGUGGGUGGUAAACUCCAUCUAAAACUAAAUAUAACCAUGAGACCGAUAGUAAACAAGUACCGUGAGGGAAAGUUGAAAAGAACUCUGAAUAGAGAGUUAAAUAGUACGUGAAACUGCUUAGAUGUCAAACCCGAUGAACCUGAAUAUCCGUUAUGGAAAAUUCAUCAUUAGAAUUGUAAUAUUUAAACAAUAUUAUAAUAAUAGUGUGCAUUUUUCCAUAUAAGGACAUUGUAAUCUAUUAGCAUAUUAAUUUAUCAUAAAAUUAUGGCAUAUAGUUUAUUUCAAUUAAAAUGCUUGCGUUUUAACAUGAAAUAAAAGCUGUAAAUUUGAUAAAGUGCUGAUAGAUUUAUAUAAAUACAGUGCGUUAAUUUUUCGGAAUUAUAUAAUGGCAUGAUUAUCAUUGAUUUUUGUGUUUAUUAUAUGCACUUGUAUGAUUAACAAUGCGUAAGAUUCAGGAUACCUUCGGGACCCGUCUUGAACCACGGACCAAGGAGUCUAACAUAUGUGCAAGUUAUUGGGAUAUAAACCUAAUAGCGUAAUUAACUUGACUAUUAAUGGGAUUAGUUUUUUAACUAUUUAUAAUUGAUUAACACAAUCCCGGGGCGUUCUAUAUAGUUAUGUAUAAUGGUAUUUAUAUUAUUUAUACCUCUAACUAGAACGUACCUUGAGCAUAUAUGCUGUGACCCGAAAGAUGGUGAACUAUACUUGAUCAGGUUGAAGUCAGGGGAAACCCUGAUGGAAGACCGAAACAGUUCUGACGUGCAAAUCGAUUGUCAGAAUUGAGUAUAGGGGCGAAAGACCAAUCGAACCAUCUAGUAGCUGGUUCCUUCCGAAGUUCCCUCAGGAUAGCUGGUGCAUUUAAAUAUUAUAUAAAAUAAUCUUAUCUGGUAAAGCGAAUGAUUAGAGGCCUUAGGGUCGAAACGAUCUUAACCUAUUCUCAAACUUUAAAUGGGUAAGAACCUUAACUUUCUUGAUAUGAAGUUUAAGGUUAUGAUAUAAUGUGCCCAGUGGGCCACUUUUGGUAAGCAGAACUGGCGCUGUGGGAUGAACCAAACGUAAUGUUACGGUGCCCACAAUAACAACUCAUACAGAAACCAUGAAAGGCGUUGGUUGCUUUAAAACAGCAGGACGGUGAUCAUGGAAGACGAAAUCCCGCUUAGGAGAGUGUACAACUCACCUGCCGAAACAACUAACCCUUUAAAUGGAUGGGCGCUAAGUGGUAUACUUAACUUUACCGCCUAAAGUAAAAGAUUAAUUUAAUUUGUAAUAUAAAAUUUUGAAAAUUUUAGGUGAGGAGGAAGGGC
rfam:Drosophila mojavensis strain TSC#15081-1352.22 Ctg01_10427, whole genome shotgun sequence.